ACGCUGGCGGCGUGCCUAAUACAUGCAAGUCGAGCGAGCGGAACUAACAGAUUUACUUCGGUAAUGACGUUAGGAAAGCGAGCGGCGGAUGGGUGAGUAACACGUGGGGAACCUGCCCCAUAGUCUGGGAUACCACUUGGAAACAGGUGCUAAUACCGGAUAAGAAAGCAGAUCGCAUGAUCAGCUUUUAAAAGGCGGCGUAAGCUGUCGCUAUGGGAUGGCCCCGCGGUGCAUUAGCUAGUUGGUAAGGUAAAGGCUUACCAAGGCGAUGAUGCAUAGCCGAGUUGAGAGACUGAUCGGCCACAUUGGGACUGAGACACGGCCCAAACUCCUACGGGAGGCAGCAGUAGGGAAUCUUCCACAAUGGACGCAAGUCUGAUGGAGCAACGCCGCGUGAGUGAAGAAGGUUUUCGGAUCGUAAAGCUCUGUUGUUGGUGAAGAAGGAUAGAGGUAGUAACUGGCCUUUAUUUGACGGUAAUCAACCAGAAAGUCACGGCUAACUACGUGCCAGCAGCCGCGGUAAUACGUAGGUGGCAAGCGUUGUCCGGAUUUAUUGGGCGUAAAGCGAGCGCAGGCGGAAGAAUAAGUCUGAUGUGAAAGCCCUCGGCUUAACCGAGGAACUGCAUCGGAAACUGUUUUUCUUGAGUGCAGAAGAGGAGAGUGGAACUCCAUGUGUAGCGGUGGAAUGCGUAGAUAUAUGGAAGAACACCAGUGGCGAAGGCGGCUCUCUGGUCUGCAACUGACGCUGAGGCUCGAAAGCAUGGGUAGCGAACAGGAUUAGAUACCCUGGUAGUCCAUGCCGUAAACGAUGAGUGCUAAGUGUUGGGAGGUUUCCGCCUCUCAGUGCUGCAGCUAACGCAUUAAGCACUCCGCCUGGGGAGUACGACCGCAAGG
rnacentral:rRNA from 1 species